ensembl:misc_RNA
UCGUACGCUGGGCUAUAAUCUAUGAAACUGAGCUCCAGAGCCAGCCAAUCACUUAGCUCCUCAUAACAAGUCUAACUGGCUCUGGAAAGCUGAAAGGGCUGCACUGGAACAACACAGAAGAGAUAUUCUACACAUUAAUCUACUUAUCUGGAAUCACUUUGACUCUAAAGGGCAGAGAAAAAUCACAGCUUCCUUGUUGGAGGGGAAAAGGACAGGUGAUCUGGGGAAAACGCAGCUACACCUGGAGCAA